CCCGACCGGGGAUGGUUUAUUACGGCGCUACUUCCUGCUCUGAGUAAAUAAGUCUGUCUCCUUUAAACUCCCUGGGCAAUUAGAAGAAUGAAAGACUGAGCGGCGGAUUAGCAUUUAUUUCCGCCCAGCGUUUAUAUGAGGCCAUUUUCCCUCUGACAAAUUGUAGGGCAAAUUGUUCUCGAAAAAGUCUGUCGGAGGAGAAGGUGUGAUGAUUAAACGGCCGGUGUAAAUUUGGGGGCCAUAAAUCCUCUUAUUGCAUUAAUGGGAUUUAUUUGCAGCAACCGCCAUUAAGGACCCAAAGAAAUAAUAAUAAACGAGCCCGGGGCUGCACCUGUUUCAGGACACUUCCCUGAUUUCCUUGUUUUCUUCUGUGUGACAAGGAGCUCAAGAGCAAAGAGAAGCUCCCAAAGACUAAGCUACUUUCCAGCUAUAAAGGGGGCUGAAACUGGUACUGUGGAGUACUCAAAACUUAGACAUCAGAGAAGCCAGCAUCAUCUACUGCAUCCUAGUCAUCCUGACUUUUGACUUGCCAUUGGACUUUGAUGACUGGAAGAGAGCAGGUGAGGCUGAAGACUUUGUGCCAGCUCUGCCUCACUUAAAUCCAGUUCAU
rnacentral:lncRNA from 1 species